AUUCCAACACUUUAUGCCGUAUUCAAUCGUCUCCUUUUCCAGGAAACUUGUGUUUGUUACGCUGGUAACCGGUCCCUCCUCAUCCCUCCUGUCACUCUCCUACAUCUGACAUGAAUAUCGAUGUGCCACUUUACAUACUGUCUGCGCAUGUACAAGAACAGACAGUGGAUGUUGCUAGAUGGCAGCAAAACACUUUUGGAGCAGCGCUGAAACCAAACACAAAAUGAAGGAGUUGAAUAUUCUUCAUC